GAUGAACGCUGGCGGCGUGCCUAAUGCAUGCAAGUCGAGCGAACGGACGAGAAGCUUGCUUCUCUGAUGUUAGCGGCGGACGGGUGAGUAACACGUGGAUAACCUUCCUAUAAGACUGGGAUAACUUCGGGAAACCGGAGCUAAUACCGGAUGAUAUUUUGAACCGCAUGGUUCAAAAGUGAAAGACGGUCUUGCUGUCACUUAUAGAUGGAUCCGCGCUGCAUUAGCUAGUUGGUAAGGUAACGGCUUACCAAGGCAACGAUGCAUAGCCGACCUGAGAGGGUGAUCGGCCACACUGGAACUGAGACACGGUCCAGACUCCUACGGGAGGCAGCAGUAGGGAAUCUUCCGCAAUGGGCGAAAGCCUGACGGAGCAACGCCGCGUGAGUGAUGAAGGUCUUCGGAUCGUAAAACUCUGUUAUUAGGGAAGAACAUAUGUGUAAGUAACUGUGCACAUCUUGACGGUACCUAAUCAGAAAGCCACGGCUAACUACGUG
rnacentral:rRNA from 1 species